AAAGAAACAUGGAAGGAUCGAAGUAGCAACGUGAAUCCCUGUCUUAGAGAACUGACGGAUGGUGCGAGUCAGUAUAUAUUCACUUGCGAAUUACAAUCUGGAGUUUUUCUUUUUAUUAUUCGCGUCAUGGAGGCGGAUAAUAAGAAGAACGGUGACAACCAUCGUUAACAAACCUUAAGCGGCUAUUUUAUAAUAGCAACAAGGGUGGUACCGCGAAUCCAACUCGUCCCUUUC
rnacentral:ncRNA from 1 species